GCAGGCAGAGGAACGUGGAAGGACUAGACUGCCUGAGUCUUCUGACCUUCAUCUUUCCCCUGUGUUGGAUGCCUCCUGCCCUCAAACAUCAGACUCCAGGUUCUUCAGCUUUUGGACUCUUGGACCUACCCCCCGAGUGGUUUGCCAGGGGCUCUCAGGCCUUCGGCUACAGACUGAGGGCUGCAUUAUCAGCUUUCCUACUUUUGAGGUUUUGGGACUUUACUGGCUUUCUUGCUCCUCAACUUGCAGAUGGCCUGUUGUGGGACCUCACCUUGUGAUCAUGUACAUGAGGGAAAUACACACCCCUCCCAGGGAUGAUGGAAGGUUAAGGUCCUAACACCUCCUGCACAUCUGAGCAGCUGCACAUUGAACCAGAUAGUCCUGGAAUGUGGGAAAACAGAGGCAGACUCAAGAGUCUGGAACAUUAUUUUAGGAUCACACAAAAAAGAUACAUAAUUUUCAUAGGUGGAGACCCUAGAAAACCUCCAGAGUUUGCUUUGAUCCUCAUACUCCACCUCCCAAGGAGGAAUAAAUUUGGAAGUGUAUAAUAAAUCAAAGAUAAAUUUGGAAGCACAUAUGAAAAAGCUUUUAUGGGACUUCUGCUUUUGAGUAAGAUGGAGAUAUUGGUGACAGACUAAUCCUGAAAAUCAGAACAACUAGAUGAAACAGAUAAAAUCCAAAAAUUAUCUGUUUUAAAGGUACCAAGGAGCUGUUGAAGCAAUGUAGGUAGAGAGGCUGAAAGACAGCAAAGGGGAGAAUCUGCACCAGCCUUUUAUCCUGGGGCACUGUGGGUUCACUGUGAGUUCUGGGUGAGAACGAGAAGCUUGGCAUCUAAACUCUACCCAAACCCCUUCUCAGCGGGCAGGAUGCAGAGGUUUCAGCAGAGCUCAGGGAAGGUAGCCAGGAUGUGCAACACAAUAGGGCCUUCAACACAGGACCAGCUUCCCCCUCAAGACAUUUGCUGAAUUCUGAAGCUGCAAGGGAAGGACAUAGGAAAGCUAAGCUGAGUACAUCAGAAGAGCUGGGUCGAGUUUUCUGCAGUGUGACGAUGCCUUGGAGACCCAGGUUAGAGUUCAGUUCCCAGGAGAGGCAGUGUUCCUGGGAUGCACCAGCCUCAGUCAAAGCCCUGGAAGUUCAUGUUGCCGGAAGAGGAUCAGCCCAGAGGAGGCUUACCCAAACUGCAAAUUAAAGGCAAAAUAGUGAAAGCUUUCCCUCAAGUGGUGGAAAGAAAUAAGGGUGCCUACUGUUUACCACUUCUAACCUACAUGGUCCUGGAAGUCCAGGCCAGGGCAAUAAUGCAAGCCAACGUAUAAAGGGCAGAAUCAUUGGAAAGGAAGAAAAAACUUACUAGACACAGAUGAACUGUCUCUAUAUGAA
ensembl:lncRNA LINC00707 long intergenic non-protein coding RNA 707